UUGAAGAGUUUGAUCAUGGCUCAGAUUGAACGCUGGCGGCAGGCCUAACACAUGCAAGUCGAGCGGUAGCACAGAGAGCUUGCUCUCGGGUGACGAGCGGCGGACGGGUGAGUAAUGUCUGGGAAACUGCCUGAUGGAGGGGGAUAACUACUGGAAACGGUAGCUAAUACCGCAUAAUGUCGCAAGACCAAAGUGGGGGACCUUCGGGCCUCAUGCCAUCAGAUGUGCCCAGAUGGGAUUAGCUAGUAGGUGGGGUAACGGCUCACCUAGGCGACGAUCCCUAGCUGGUCUGAGAGGAUGACCAGCCACACUGGAACUGAGACACGGUCCAGACUCCUACGGGAGGCAGCAGUGGGGAAUAUUGCACAAUGGGCGCAAGCCUGAUGCAGCCAUGCCGCGUGUGUGAAGAAGGCCUUCGGGUUGUAAAGCACUUUCAGCGGGGAGGAAGGCGGUGAGGUUAAUAACCUCAUCGAUUGACGUUACCCGCAGAAGAAGCACCGGCUAACUCCGUGCCAGCAGCCGCGGUAAUACGGAGGGUGCAAGCGUUAAUCGGAAUUACUGGGCGUAAAGCGCACGCAGGCGGUCUGUCAAGUCGGAUGUGAAAUCCCCGGGCUUAACCUGGGAACUGCAUUCGAAACUGGCAGGCUAGAGUCUUGUAGAGGGGGGUAGAAUUCCAGGUGUAGCGGUGAAAUGCGUAGAGAUCUGGAGGAAUACCGGUGGCGAAGGCGGCCCCCUGGACAAAGACUGACGCUCAGGUGCGAAAGCGUGGGGAGCAAACAGGAUUAGAUACCCUGGUAGUCCACGCCGUAAACGAUGUCGAUUUGGAGGUUGUGCCCUUGAGGCGUGGCUUCCGGAGCUAACGCGUUAAAUCGACCGCCUGGGGAGUACGGCCGCAAGGUUAAAACUCAAAUGAAUUGACGGGGGCCCGCACAAGCGGUGGAGCAUGUGGUUUAAUUCGAUGCAACGCGAAGAACCUUACCUGGUCUUGACAUCCACAGAACUUAGCAGAGAUGCUUUGGUGCCUUCGGGAACUGUGAGACAGGUGCUGCAUGGCUGUCGUCAGCUCGUGUUGUGAAAUGUUGGGUUAAGUCCCGCAACGAGCGCAACCCUUAUCCUUUGUUGCCAGCGGUUCGGCCGGGAACUCAAAGGAGACUGCCAGUGAUAAACUGGAGGAAGGUGGGGAUGACGUCAAGUCAUCAUGGCCCUUACGACCAGGGCUACACACGUGCUACAAUGGCAUAUACAAAGAGAAGCGACCUCGCGAGAGCAAGCGGACCUCAUAAAGUAUGUCGUAGUCCGGAUUGGAGUCUGCAACUCGACUCCAUGAAGUCGGAAUCGCUAGUAAUCGUAGAUCAGAAUGCUACGGUGAAUACGUUCCCGGGCCUUGUACACACCGCCCGUCACACCAUGGGAGUGGGUUGCAAAAGAAGUAGGUAGCUUAACCUUCGGGAGGGCGCUUACCACUUUGUGAUUCAUGACUGGGGUGAAGUCGUAACAAGGUAACCGUAGGGGAACCUGCGGUUGGAUCACCUCCUU
rnacentral:rRNA from 1 species